AUGAUGGUAAUGAGGAUGAUGACGUUGAGGGUGGUGAUUUCGCCCUCUUGGCCACCCUCCCCCUCCUGUCCUUCGCCCCUGCAUGCGCCCCCUGCCAGCUCUUGGACCAGCCGUGCUUCCUGCGGCUGGAAGGGUCCCUCUGCGGAGCCCCCUUUCCACUCCUGCUGCCACAGCUGCUGCUGUUACUGCCCGCCCCCUCUGACAACAGACAGCAACAACAACCAGCAGCACUGGGGCAAGAGGCCUGUAGUAGUUACUGUAAUACCACUGACAGUUGUUAGUUAUUGUGUCAUGCACGUACAAGUACUCAGCCCUCGACACUAAAAAUACUGUCGCAGCAGAAUCAUUUCAUCAGUUCCUUAUAUAAAACAUUGCAAACUAAGAACUUUGUUUUCUGUUUUCAGGUCUAUAAAUUUAAUCUGCUCCCUUAAUGAAAACUCAACACAAGCUUUUAGCUACCAACUGCUACCAACGUGGCUCCAGGGAUUGUAAUGUCGCUCCGUCCAACACUUUGGUCCAGAUUUAAAUAUCUAAACAAAUAUUUGAUGGAUUAAGUAGAAAGAUGUUGUACAGAGAUUAAUGAUCCAGAGACAAUCCGUCCUACUGACUCUGGCGAUCCACUGACUUGUCAUCUAGUGCCACCACGAGUUUGAUCUUAGUGAAAUAUCUCGACAACUAAUGGAUGAGUUGGCAUGAAAUGAAAUCCUCUCAGCUUGAACUGUAAUAGCUUUGUGAGCCCUUGACUUUGCAUUUAGCGCCAUCAUCAGAUCAAAAUCUGUAUUUGGUUCUUUGGCUUGUGGCCAAAUACCUACAAAACUAAUGAGAUUCCCAUCAGCCUCAGUUGUACUUUAAAUGUUUGCGUGUUAAUACUCUAAGCUAAGAUGGUGAACAUGGUCAACAACAUGGUCAACAUCCCACCUGCUAACAUUUAUCCAGCCUCAAAGAGCUGCUUGGCUCGUCCAACCAGAAGUAAUUAGGAUAUUCAACUAAACAGUACAGCCCUUUAAUCAAUAUAAAGAUAAUUUGUCUUUAAUGUUACCUUAAUUACGUUAAAAAAGCAUUAAACUGGCGCUGCUUCCUGCAGCUACUAUCUGCACAUAGUUAUCAUCAGCUCAACACAACACAGACCACAAUACAUCAACAGUAUAUAUAAUAUGACAUAAUGUGCCUGUAUGCAGCUACACUAGUGACCCCAUGUGGCUGAGCUGUGUAUUACACAGAGCAGGGGGGGGUCAAUGUUUACUGUAAUCCAUCCAGCAAAAUUGUUGGAUGGAUUACAGGCGACUGUCUAUACUUAGAUCUUUAACACUAAUGUGCUGUGGUAUAAGGAUGUUAAGUUUGCACCGAGCAGUAAACACAUCCAGGACAUUGUGAGUUCAGAGAGCUGAGUGUAUUAUAAUAGAGUCCUGAUAUAACCUGAAGAACAAAGAGAUAAAACUGUGAAGGAUGAUCACAUCAGCUGUUAACAACGCCGGUGACACAGUAAUAAUUACUCCGACAAACAAACAGAUCAUCACCAUCUGUCCACAUAAUACAGUUCAUAUGUGUUGCCUUUGUAAGGAUUCACAAAUCCUCUUUUAUGUUCUUUAUUGAUCAAACAUUCAGGAACAUAACGUAAAGUAAACAUGACAAAAGUUAAGUUAAGGUUAAACUAAUUAUAAGAUAUAAUAGACGGUAUGUAGGGAUAUAUAUAUUAUAAUAAUAAUACAUAUUUAUGUAGGAAGUAUUUGCCCUUAAAGAGAAUAAGAUUGAAUAUACAUUUUAUUUUUCUUAUCUUUAUUCUUUGUCUUGCUGCUUUUGUUGCUUUUAUCAUACACCCUUCCUUUUAUUCUGAAUUGUGUAAAUAGUGCAGCACUUUUAAUGUCCUAAAGUGUGUUUUUACUGUAUCUAUGUUGUUUGCUGUAAAACAAAUAUUAUUUUAUCUUGUGCGACAAUAAAUAUGUGACCUGAACUGAAAGUUAUACAAACUGUAUAUGCACAGACAGAUGAAAUCACAAACACCUUUCCCAAAAUAAGUUUCUAUAUUAUUUCAGAACUAAAUAUUUUCCAAAUUAAAAGCUACAAGAGUAAAAUUCAUGAAUAAUUUAAUGACACUACUGCCUAAAAUAUGCCUUUUCCCUCACAUCUUCAUUAUCAAAUAUGUAUAAUUAAGUAUAUAUAUUACAUAAAGACAACAACAUGUAAAUCCUGUACCUAUAUCUACCACUGUUAAUAAUAAAUAAUCAUUAUAAACACUUAAAAUAUGAGACAUAUUUCUAUUAUCGGACAGAGCUCGUUGUAUAACGGUCGUUUCUGUCUUUUUACUUUCUAUUUCAGUUUAAUUUUGACUUUUAUCGUCCGAGCAGUCUAUGGACCGGGUGUGACUGCUCGUACGAUGUACCUGCGACCGAUAAACUUAAACAUAAAUAGAGUUUUUUUUUGUUUUAAAGUGUGAAAAUAAACCGUCAGGAAACUAAAGUGUGUAAAUAAAGUUGUGUCGUUUUUUUUUUAAAGCAGUCAGCACCAUAACAAACAUGGCGGCGGGAGGCGGCUAACUGACGAGAAGAGGCGAAAAAAAAAAAAACACCCUACAGCCGUUUUAAUUAAGAUCUGUUUGGUAUUUUAUUAUUUUUUUUAAUUUUACUUAAUAACAGAUAGUGUCU
rnacentral:lncRNA from 15 species